rnacentral:lncRNA from 1 species
AGAUGAUCUUAGGGAAAUUUUAAAGAGAGAACGAGAGAGUUUUGAUCAAAUAUGAAGUAGAAAAAUAAACUGUAAGGAUAAGAAUUUUACUGUGUAGCUAAAUUCCUUGUUGAUGAUGUUUUUGUGUGUAAUUCAAUUACAUAAGAACUUGUCAAGUUUCUGGAGAAAACGAGUUAGGAUAGAAAAGUUAUGCGAUCUUUACUAAUCACUUGAAGUGAAUAGUAACUCAGGUUUU